rnacentral:rRNA from 1 species
UACGUAGGGUCCGAGCGUUGUCCGGAAUUAUUGGGCGUAAAGAGCUCGUAGGCGGUUUGUCGCGUCUGGUGUGAAAACUCGAGGCUCAACCUCGAGCUUGCAUCGGGUACGGGCAGACUAGAGUGCGGUAGGGGAGACUGGAAUUCCUGGUGUAGCGGUGGAAUGCGCAGAUAUCAGGAGGAACACCGAUGGCGAAGGCAGGUCUCUGGGCCGCAACUGACGCUGAGGAGCGAAAGCAUGGGGAGCGAACAGG